rnacentral:rRNA from 1 species
UACGAAGGGGGCGAGCGUUGUUCGGAUUUACUGGGCGUAAAGGGCGCGCAGGCGGCUCAUUUUGUCAGGCGUGAAAGCCCCGGGCUUAACCUGGGAACUGCGUUUGAGACGGAUGGGCUAGAGUUCGGGAGAGGAGAGUGGAAUUCCCAGUGUAGAGGUGAAAUUCGUAGAUAUUGGGAAGAACACCGGUGGCGAAGGCGGCGACCUGGUCCUUGACUGACGCUGAGGCGCGAAAGCGUGGGGAGCAAACAGG